UUCAAGAGCACCAAUCUUAAAAAUUCGUAUACAAAUCGCUCUAUUUGCAAAAGUUGCAUCCUUUUGCAAGUGAUAAACAAGUGCGGCUUGAUUCGAUGCAUCGUUCGUCAUAUUUGUGCCUCUAAAGUUUCUAUGCAAAUUUCAAUGGGAUUUCUUGAUGUUUCACCAUAAGUUUAAGUAGAUUUCAUAACAUGAAUCGUGCUCUAGUUUCAUAACUCGAUUACAAACAACUUUAGUGUAUUCCACUCUUCGUCACUAUGCAGCAUCCAGUGCCAGUGGUCCACUUACCUAAGGGCUCGUAAAAGCCAAACUUGGUUCGGGUCUGUAACAGCGUCACCAGCGGUAGGAAAAAGUGCAAGUAAACUUUCAUAUAAGAUACCACCCUAUACGGUUAGUGUACACGCGAUGAUAUUCCAUCAUAUGUGUUCCAACCCAACAACAACGCAACAACGCAACGGUGCGGUAGUGACGACAAACGAUGACGCUGUGCAAGCAGGAGCUUACACUAAGUUUGUCGGUUCGUUGUCGUCGUCAGUUUUGGGUGAGUUAAGUAGAGCAGCACCACCGAGUAGAAAAUUAUGUUGAUCGUCUUGGUUAAUGGUUAGUGCUGUUGUUGCUGCUGCUGCUGUUGCCAAAUGUGAUGUUGUCUCAGCCGUUGUCGUCAACCGUCACAUUUGGGAGCGCCCACCACGACCGCUACCACCCAUCAACUCGAUUACGUGUGCGGUAAAUUUGCUUUGGGAGUCAAUAGGUGUACUUGCGAAAGGUACGAUACAAUGUACGAUGUAGAACGUCUGCUUAGUUUGGAUCUUUGGCGUUCGAGGUGUGUUCGAGUGAUAAUGCAACAUAUGUAAUACACGUAUGGACAACCCAACAAACAUUUUUGCUGUACAAGAGUGGAACAAUCCACUCUUAAGCAAACUUUAGCUUAGAAACUGUUAUUCAGCUAGUUCUGUUUCUUGAGAAGGUACGAAUUAUUCGUAUAAUUGAAAUGCACUAUCAGGAUUUCUAUCAUAAAAGAUCGCUAUUCUGGGCGAUUGCUGUCACGCAAUGAUCAGCUGCGCUGCCAGAUCAAAUAUUCGUAGUUUUGUUUUAUUUCCUUAUUGAGGCUGCGCAGCCAUGAGCAUCUUGAUCUUACUCUGAUGCGAUGCCUCCCGCUGGGCUGAUGUCGCUUGACUGUUGAUUUGAUUUCCACCCCUUCGUAGAGCUCAACCCACAAACCUCGUUCCCGAAUUUCUGUCGCUAUCGGUGGAUGUUCAGUUUUUGGCCGCCAUGUACGAGUUACCGCAUAUACCACAGGCAUCUGUCGAUGAAGACCUACAGCCGUUCAGUGUUCUCCACUGAUACAUACCAGGUUUUACUGAGGUACAGUAGUACACCCGUUUACAAAAACGGUUUGGACUACAUAUUGAACGUAUUAAUUUGAAUUUAUUUUUUUUUCUUGAUAAGCUACUUAGUAGUCCGUUCAAAGUCUAACACCGUACAUCAAACCGUUUUUGAUUAGAUUUUGUUUUAGAUUUUAUCCCUUUCGUGACGAACCAGCACAAUUGGGCUGUUGAGCGGUAACAGUUUUGCAUAUUUUUUUCAUCUGUUUAGACUUUGUUUUAUGUGAUGUAAACUGUUUCAAUAAUUCAGCCAUUACUUAUAGUUGUAUGUGUGCAAAAAACUUUUGUUUACGUUGCUUGUGAGAUUUACCACAACAAAGUAAACAAAAAGUGGGCAAAAACCGUAAAACAUGAAAAAGUUUUAUCUGUCGCAUAUUUUUUAUUUCCGAUUUAUCUAGGUAGUCAAAGCUAAAAAUCGGAAGGUAAAGAGUAGUUCUUUCAUAUAAGGGAAAAUAAUUGCUGUUUUGUUGGAAAGUCUAAGAGUUCUGGAGAGCCAAAGUUGAGCAAUUUGUAUGAAAAUUUCGCUUUUUUGCGCUCCGUCUCGAAAGGGUUAUAGAGGCAUUUUAAAAUCUUCCCCUGUGUUAUAGGGAUAGGGAUUUUUCAAAACAUCAUCGUUCUUCUUCUUCUUCUUCUUCUUCAUGCAACAUCAAAUCAUCAAUUGUGAAAGACGGACCCGGUUAGGGUGGUGCUUGGAAUCCAGUUUGACUUUCUAUUUCAGGGAAUUGUAACUUGCUCUGUGACUUAGUUGCAGUGGCGUAGCAAGGGGGGGCGGAGGGUGCGGUCCGCACCGGGCCCCCGAACCUAGGGGGCCUCCAAAUCAGGGCAGGUCUAGUGUUAUGAACCUUCCCUGAUUUGGAGGCCCCCUGAAUUCAGGGGCCCAGUUUGAAUAAAGUUCUGUGAUUAGCGAAAGAUUCCUACAUAUAAGUAUAAGUUAAAUACUUGCCGAUCUGCUGAUAGGUAUGUAGGGGCCUCUUCGUGAUUAUCAAGAGAUUUUGGAAUGGGGAACACAGAUGGCUAUUUUGAUGUUCUAUUAUUAACAAUUAUAAAUGUACACACUUUAUUCAUGUAGUUUCGUUAGUUUUGUUUAUAUUAAUUUGAUGACUACUCUUUGCACCUGCAGGAGCCCCAAAAUACAAUAAAAAAUGUGUUCGAAAUCAAAAUUGAAUUUUACGAUAUUCAGUACCGAUUAUACUUCCAUAAUUCAUGAGCAUUAUGAAAAUGUCCCUGAUAUCCUAACCACAGAACCAAACAUAGGUGUUGAUUUAGCGUAAGAUAGCAGCUGAAAUUCAGGGGCCCCAUUUAUCAAAAUUAAGAACUGAACGCAUGUUACGUUCUUGAAGGGUUUCUGCGGGAAUUCCUUCGGGCAAGAAUAUAUUUUUCGAUUUAUCAGGCAGUUACUUCAAAGACUUCUACAAAAAUUCUUCUAUGAUUUACUUCAGAACUUUUUUCAGGGAUUGCUUAAGAAAACUUUCUAAGCAUUGGUUUAUGAAUACUUACAAUGAUUGCUUCAGGAACUCCUCCAGACAUUUCUUCAAGAAUUUCUUCAAACAAUUAUCAAGAAAUCCUUCAGGAAUUCCUUUGGGAUUUUUUUGUAAGCAUUUCUUCAAGCAGUCGUUCAGAAAUACCAUUUCGGAACCGUUCAUAAAGCCAUUCAAGGAUUAUAUCAUGAAACUCUUCAAGAAAUCCUUCAGAUGGACCUCAAGGAAUUUCUCCAAGAAUGAUUUUAGAGAUUUCUUCAAGAAGGAAUCUUGCAGUAGUUCCUCAUGGAAAAUAUAUUUGAUGAUUUUUUGAGAUUUUUGAAGCCAUACCCGAAUGGAUCCUUGGGAGAUUUUCCAAAGAAAUUUGAAUGUAUUCCCGAAGGAACUUUUUUUUUUAAAUUUCUUUGUAUUUGUGAAUUUUAACUUAAUGCUAAUUCUUUACACCCCGAAGGAACUCUUGUAGAAAUGUCUGUAGGAUUUUUUGUAGAAAUUUCUAAAAAAAAUCUUUAAGAAUCGCCUAGAUGAAUUCUAAGAUGUAUUAGGAAAGAAUCAUUGGGUUGAUUUUGGAGGUAUAUUUGAUGAUGUUCUGGAAGGAUUACUACAGUACUAUGAAGUAGUACUACAAGUACUAGGAGUACUAUGAGUAAUUACUUAAAGGAUUCCUGAAAAAAAUCUGUAAGCAAAUUUUGGAAGAACUAAUUAUGAAAUGCCUAGAUAAUUUCUCAAGAAAUCAAUGACGGAAACCCCAAAGAAUUCCAAAUUCUUUGGUGCAAAUAAAAAAAAAAACAAUCUUCAAAAGAAUUUCCGCAGGAGGCCUUGGGUGAAUUUCUGUAAGACCCCCUGAGGAAAUUUGUGCAGGAAUUCUUUAGGGAUGAAUGUGUCCAUCCUUGUAGGAUUAUCUGAAGAAAAACUUCGAGAAAUCCAUGAACGAACUUUUAUAUGUAACUUGAAAAACAAAAUCCUUGUUGAAAAGAUUAAUUUUUACUGGAAUUUCUUAAAAGAUUCUUGAACGAAUUGUGAAAAAGGACUUAAAACCAUUGCCUAAGGAAUCUUUGAAUGAUUUUCUACAGAAAUUAUUAGAGGAAUUUAUGAGGAAAUCCCUGCAGGUAUGAUUACUAAAGAAAUGCUUGAACAAAUUCUUAAGAAAUCCUUGAUAGGACUUCCAAGAAAAAUCGUAUAAGGUAGUGCAAAAGGAACCCUUGAAGAAGUUUCUAAAAAAAUCUUGAAGGAACUCCAAAGUAUUCCUCUGAAAAAAUGCUGAAGAGAACAUGUGCGAAUCGUUUGUGGAUAUCUUUAAGAAACUCUCUAUAGAGUUCUUGGGAUUACAUAAUACUGAAAAAAAUCCUUCAAGGAAUUGAAGAAGAAGUUUCCUAAGGAAUCGCUGUUGCAACUUUCGCAGAAAAUCUUCGAGGAAUUUGUAAAGAAGUCCUUGAAGUAUUUCCCAGAUGAAUCGUAAAAGAUAUCCAAGAAAGAGUUCUUGGAGCUCCGCACUUGAGAAAAAAAUAUUGAUGAAAUCGUUAGAAACAUUUCGUUAGAAGUUUCGUGAAAUAAAUCCGGACGAAACUGGUGUAAUCGCUAAAGAAACCGUUAAAGGUAUCAAUAGAAAAAAUCUGAUAAAAACCUUGGAAGAAUUCCUAAAGGAUUCAUUGAGGAAUUGCAGUAGAAUCUCUUGGAGCAAAUCCUGUGAGAAUUUUUACAUCAUUUAUUACAAUUUUUGAAGUAUUUCUUCGGAUUUUUUUUAUCUUUUUCAGUAAUUAAUACGGAAACCCGUUACAGAUUCGUUAAGGAAUAUCUUUAAACAUUAAUUUAAGAAUCCAUUCGGCUAUUGCUCUGAAAAUUUCCUUUGACGAUAUAUUUGAUUAAUUGUUAGGCAUUUCCUUUGGAAACUUCUUCAACUAAUUCUCAGAAAUGCUACAAAAAUGGCUUCUGAUUUUUAUUUCUACGAACUUCUUUGGAUUUCUAUUUCUAGGAAAAUUCUGUUGGGAAUUCCGUCUGCAACUUUUCACUGACUUUUUUUUUGACAAUUCGUUUGAGAAAACCUCUGGUAAUAACUUUUGGAAUAACUUUAACAUUUUUCUGGAAACUUCUAUGCCAAUCCCUACGGGAAUUGAUUGGGUUAUUCAUUUGGCAUUUUUUGGUAAUUUAUUCGGCGAGUUUUCUGUGAGUUACCUAAAAAAAACUUUCAAAUAUCUUUUGGCGUUUUUUUUGGCAAAUUCUUGGGAAAUGCUUUGAUUGGUUUUGAUCCGAAAGUUCCUAUAAGAGUAUUCUUGAAAUUUGCUCUGCAAAUGUUUUUGAAAACUAUUUCGGCAUAACUCUUUUGGAAUUUCUCGGCAAUAAUAUUCAAAGUUGAAUUUGGUUAUUAUUUUUGAAAAUAUCUUUGACAGAACUUUUUGAAAUUCUUUGGGUUUGGAAAUUUAUUACGGGAUUCAGCAAUUUCUCUAAAAGUUCUACCAGCAGUCCCUUUGCUCAUAUACCUGACAAUUACUAUUGUAAUUCUUUCAAUAGCACAGCGUAACAAAAAUUAACUUUUGGUCUGUUUCAAGAGCAAACUAAUGUGUCUCUGACAGAUUUUGGGCCGCGGUUAUGUUGGGUACGAUACAAACCACCCUCCAAAAAUUGCAUGCAAGUUUACAUAUUAACAUAAAAUGCUUAAAUCUUUCAAAUUUGAUUUGAAAAAACGAAAUAUUUUGCGUGAGUCGUAAAUUUAGAUGUUAAUUGACCAUUUUACCUUUUAAUUACUUAAAAAAAAUAUUUCCAUGUUUAACGGCUUGCAGUCAAAAAAGCCCAAAAUCGCAUAUUUUGCCCUAUAAAUUGAGGUAUAGCUCAAAAUUGUGGCGUCCUGAAACAAAUCUGAGCCCGGAUUCGGAUUCAGCGGCCCAAAACCUGUCAGAGACACAUACAGGUACUUUGAAAAUUAAUUAGUCGAUUCGUUUGUAAAUUUAAGUGGCAACUUUUAAAAGCUUCUUUGGUAAUUCCUCUGUAAAUUUCUUCUGAUAAUUCUUUAUUAAAUUUCGUCUGUUAUUACUUUUGAUGUUCUAUGAGAUACAUCUUUGCAAAUUAAAAAUAAAUCCACGAAUUUACAACGGAACGACCGAGAAAAAUCUCAAGAGAAUUACCAGAAGAAUUUCCAAAAAAUUAAGAUUACCAGAAGAGAUCACAAACAAUUUCCUAAAAAUGUAUGAAGAAAUUUCUAUAGAAUUUCUAGGAUUAAUUUCUGUGAGAAUUGAAAGAAUUCUUUUUUUUUUUUUGAGUUUGUAAAGUAUUCAUUGGAGGAAUUUAUCAAUCCUUGAAUAGGCUUAUUAGAGGAAUUUCUAAAAAAAAAUCUAGCAAAAACACUCAAUGCAUCCCCUGGAGGAAUUCCUGUGGAAUUUCUUGGAGGAAUUUGUGUAAGAAUCUCCGGAAAGCCCUUGCAGUAGUAAUUAAAUAAAUACAUGAGGAAAUCCUUGCAUAAAAAGACCCCAAAAGAUUUCUUGUACAAAAUUAUUUGUAAAAUACCUGGAAAAAUCAGUUUAGGAAUGAAUGAAUGAAAUCAAUUGAAGAAACUCUAAGAGAAUACUUGAAUAAAAUCUGAACGAAUCUUCGGGCAAAUCACAAGAGAAUUACUAAAGAAAUCUCUGGAAAAAAUCCUGAAGGAAUUUUGGGAGCAAUUUCUAAAGGCUGCCUUAAAGGAAAUCCUUUAGAAUUUUGAAUAACCUUAGAACAUUUCCUAAAUUCUUGGAGAGACUUCUGGAGAAGUUAUUUGUUUUGAUAAGAUAGGAUAUCUGUUUCUUUACUAUUUAGCCAUUUACGCUGCCAUUUUUAUCCCACUCAAAACAAUGGAAUGAAGCGUUUUUGUUCUGUUUCUUAUUUUUGUAUAUUUGUUAGAAGUGAGCACGGAUUAUAUAAAAAAUAACGUAAUAAUUAAAUCAAUCAUAAAUUCUGGGGAAAUAGAUUUUUUUUAAGAGUGCCCAGAGGAAUACUAGCAAAAAUUCCUGAAGGAACUCUUGAGAAAACUCCUAGAGUUGAUGGAUAUCGAAAAAUUCGUUAGAGGAAAUCCAGAAGGAUUUUUCGAAAGAAUUCCUACAGAAGUCCAUCUAAAAAUUUAAUUUAAUUAAUUUAAUUUAAUUAAUUCAAUUUCUUUAGUAGAAAUCCUUGGAGAUUUUGUUUAAUUAAUUGAGAAAUUCUAUGAUGAAUCUCUUAGUAAUACCUUAGAGAAACUUUUUGAAGAAUCCUUGAAGAUUUUUUUUUGGAAAAGGGAAUUUUUGGUGGGAUUUCUGAAGUAAUCUUAGGAAGUAAUUCUUAAGAAAUCUUUAAAAGGACACUAUGAUAUAAGUGAUGAAUGCUUGAGGAAAUUCCAAGUUUAAUUAUUGGAGAAAUAUCUAAAAGAGUUAUUUGAGGGAAGAAUUGAGAAAUACUUGAAGAAUCUAUGGAAAAUCACCAAAGGAAUAUUAAGAGGAUUCUCUGAAAGAAACGGAAUAAUGUUUAAAGAAACCCUAGAAGGGCUUCUCUUCCUCUGAGGGAAUCCCGAUGCAAUUUAUUGGAAGAACAUCUGGUUCUAAAUGAAUCAUUGAUGAUUUUUUGUAGUAUUUUUUCUGGAAUUUUGAAAGAAUUCUUUAGAUGAUCUUCUAGAUGAAUCCUCAGAAUAUAAUUGAUAGAUUCUUGAACUAAUAUUUCGAGAAAUACUCGAUGAAGCCUUUGCAAAAUCUUUUGAAUUACUCUGUAGUAUUUUGAAAACAUUCCUGCAUGUCUGAGGUGAACCAGCCAAGGGACUGAAAGCCUCAUUAAUAAGGCUAAUUAUAAUAAUAUCAUUCCUCAUCAAUACUGAAUGAUAUCCUUGCAUUUACAACUUAAAAGUUUCUUGAAUACAAAUUAUUCUUUAAGAAAAAUUUCUUAAAGAAAAAAGUAAAGCAAUCUUUGAAAGCGUUUAUAAAUGAUUAUUUGGUGUAAUUUCUAAAUAAAUUGUUAAAACAUUUUCAGCAUCAUUCUUAUAAAAAAAAAAUCUCACGCUCCCGAAAAAAAUCAUAAAGGAAAACAGAAAAUAAGAUAAGAUAGAUAAUUUUUAAACCUCCUUUGCCAGCAUCACUAGAAUAUUGAGUACAAAAAGCGAGAUUUUUUCAAAGAUUUGUACAAAAUAUAACAGUGAGAUUAUUCGACAGUCAAAUGUAUAGAUUUAUCGUUGUAAAAUAUGUACAUAUUAUGUAAUUUUCAUGGGGGCCUACCAAUUUGCUUCCGCACCGGGCCCCCAAAUUCCUAGCUACGCCACUGCUUAGUUGGUUAAAGCGCCGGACUAGCGAUACAGAGUCGUGGGUUCAAAUCCCACCAAAACAAGUGGUCAUUUUUUUACAAAUUUAUCUCUCAAUUUGUCAAUUAAACACACACAGUGUUCCCGAAAAAAGUUUGAGUUUUUUCGUCUAUUCAAGCCUUACAGCCGACUGGUAUAGCCGGUAAAGGGCAAUAAAAUUAUGUGCUUCCUGAUAUCAUUUUGAAAAAAAUAAAGGUCUUUUGCAGAUUAUGUGGAAAACUGUCGGGGGAAUUCCUGGAAAAAAGAUAAGAUGAAUUUCUGGAAGUAUUUGCAUAACAAUCCCUGGAGGAUCUUCCGUGCGAAUUUCCAAAUAAACUUCUGGUUAAUUUCCUGGAUGAACUUCCCGGAGGCACUCACCCAUCGGUCACCGGUCAGUACACGAGUUCUUCAACCGUCUCGUUUUCAUCACGUUCAAUAGAAAUUCGGGGUGGCGGGUACGGUGAUUCCUCCCUAGAGUCCUUUACCAUCACAUACCUUGCCACCGACACAUUAAUGACUAGGGGAAAGUAAGGUAAGAUGCCAUUUUUUAACCUUUCAUCGUUUUCAAUGACAAAUAGCCUAAUUUCUUAGACUUUCAAAGUGGUAACAGAAACUAGACAAUACUUGCUUGAUAUUUCAGCAAAUGUAUUCACUUAACUAGUGCAUUUUCAUCGAUUUUUAGCGAUUUUAAAAACAGGUUUGUAAAACGGAAGUGGUGCAAAAAGGUCGUCUGCCAUGGGGUAAGAUGCCACUUUAUUAAAACAUUCAAAAAUUACGUUUAUCAUUUUUCGGGCAUUUCCGACUCCUAUUCCCCCACUGUCCAUUUUUAUCGUAUACUCAAUACAUAAAGUGACACCCGCCUUCCCGCGGAACGAUGGUCGUCAUAUUUGAAUGACCCCUAACAUGGAUAGCGUUGACAUCAACAACCAUGCGCCUCCAUGUUUGUCUCAAUCACCUUGGAAACACUUGGCUGGUAAUAAAAUCACCAGAAAACCUUAAUUGCAAGCACGAAAAACCGGAAGUUGGCAAUUUUCAUUGGGAAAUCAAAAGAUUUUCCGAGGGUUUGGCGGCUUAGCUUCUAGAAGAAUAUUUUAUGUAAACAUAUCUUAACACCCUUCACCAAUAUGUAGCAAUGAUCAAAUCACAUUUAGGAAUGAUUUUAUGAGUUGGUCCAUCUAACCUCGUCUUGGAAUUUUGGGCUUUGUUCCCCUAAUCUGAUUCGCCUGGCUCCAUUCUUCAGUCGGUUGUACAUUUCAGCCAUCGUCUCAAAUUUGCGAAUAUCAUUACAGCUAGAAACUGUAAUAAAGAAACUUUUGUUUUACCAACACGGCUUGUCGGAUGUAAACAUUAUUGUCAAAACAAACUUUAAGUGGAAUAUACAGCCACUACACAAAUACUCUACAGUUAUCCAUCUCUUUGCUGUAAAAUGUGAAGAUGUGUUAAUCGAAUAAAAGUCCCAACAAAACAGCUGCUUUUAUACAGUUGUCAAAUACACAAAACAGCAGUGCUUCGUGGCUGUUUAAAGAAUAUUCUUUCAGCUUGAAGCUGUGACGAAGAACCUGUUGGCGCAAUCGUACAGCUUAUUCAAUGUAAACAUUAUUGCGUUUGACGUUUUACAAACUUUUACAGCAGGGUGAAGCUGGGUAAGGUUUCUUGUGACACAUUUAUAAAGCCUUGUCUGGAGUAAAACAAAACGGACUAUUUUAUCUGCUAUUUAUGUACAUAUAUAGCAGUGUGGCUGCGAGGACAUCUUCGAGACCAGUGGAUACGGAGAUCGGGAGUUCGGUUCGAUUCGAAAAUUCCCGUUCCACAUGUAUUGCGUCACUGUAUCCAUAACCAAAUUAUAUUUAAUCGAUUAAUUUAGGCAUACCGUAUAACUCUUAUUCAACAACUGUGAAAAGCCUGAAAAGCGCCUUCUUAAGAUGUUAUACAGUUAGUGGUUACAUAUGAGCCGAGAAAAGAGCUAUAACUUCGUGGUAUAGAAGCUGCUCGCCCAGCAUAUACAUGUGGAUUAAGUUCGCCAGAUUCAUUGGUAUAGGGCUUGCAUAGAAGCUUCCUUCCAUAAGUACAACAAAGUAACUCAGCAUCGAGCCGUUUUGAGGACGCUUUGUUGACGUUUAACCCUUCCGUUACCAACCCCCCCUAACGAGAGUGCGAAAAAAUACUCUUUUCGUUAUAACUUUUUUGUUUUUCAAUAUUUUUCGACCAAAUUUUGACACAAUAAGUGGAUAUCCCUCUGAUUUAAGGAUUUGCUAGGGAUUGUUGGAAUGGCCAACUGGUUCCGGAGUUAUUCCGGAAUCAAAAUGGGUCAUUCGAUUUGGUUAUUUUGGAAAAAGUAAUUUUUCGAUAUGAGAGCCGUUCAGUUUUCAGACCUAAGUGUACUAGAAUGAUAGAAAAAUUUGUCUAGAAGUCCAUCCCGAUCACUACGUGCCUUGGAACCCGUUUUACGGACGUUCCGGGGAACCGGUUCCGGGGUCAAUUUUUGAAUAUGAUUCAAUAUCAUCAUGCGACACCUUAAACUUCGUGAUUUUUCAAGAUGCAUCAUUCUGUGCUGUUUUGGCGUUGUCUGAAAUACUGUUGGCCAUUUUGGAACCGGUAUUCGGAUUUCCCGGGAAUCGGUUCCGGUGGUUCCGGGGUCCAAUUUUCGAAAAUAAACAAACACCAUCAUGCGACAUAUCAAACUUCAUGAUUUUGAAAAUCAUGGCAUUCUAUCAUAAUGAUUGGCCACUUAGGAUACAUUUGGCCAUUAUGGACGGGCCAAGUUUUGAAAAUGGUUCAAUACCGUCAUGCGGCAUCUCAAACAUCGUGAUUUUCAAAAUACAUCAUUCUGGGCUAAUAUUGCGUUAUCUGAAAUACUGUUGGCCAUAUUAGAACCGGUAUUCGGAUUUCCCGGGAAUCGGUUCUGGUGGUUCCGGAGUCAAUUUUUCGAAGAUAAACAAACGCAAUCAUGCGACCACGAGCGGAACCAUUGCAUUGAUUGCUAUCCGUAUAUUUAUGCUUUUAACCAGAAACUGCCACUGUUGGGUAUUCAUUCUAAGAAUGCAUCCAGGAAUGCCUUCCGAAGAUUCCUCAUGGAAUUCCGCAACCUUUCCAAAGAAUUCCCUCCGGAAUUCAUCCAGGAGAUUCCUCUUGAAAGAUGUUCUUCCAGUUUAUUCCAAAAACUCGAGUUUAUUCCAAAAACUCGAUCCGAGGAUUCCCCUAGGAGUUUCCUCCGAAAAGUGUCACAGGAAUUCCUUUUAGGAAUUCCUCCAGGAGUUUCUUAUGGAGAUUUGAUUCCGGGGAUUCAUCCAAGAAUCCUCCAGAAAUUAAUUACAGAGAAUUUUCCAAAAACUCGUUUCGUGUGAUUUCGCGUAAAAUGCUUCCGAACGCUCUUGCACAAGUUACCCGAGCAGGAAAAAAUAGCUGAAGAAUAACUAACUCAGGUAUGGAAAACCGAAUACCUACAACCUGAAUGAGGUAUUAAGUAGCCCUUCAUAAGAGGUAAAAUACCUAAAAUAAUAACUGGUGUGUAUUCUGUGCAUAACGCGUGAAUAAUGACAUCAGGUAUGGCAAUACCUAAAUAAUAAUCGGAGAUUUUUCCAUACAAAUAGCGAUUUUCCCAUAAUUGAAUAAUACCUCAAUCAGUCCUCAACACCAAAUCAAUAACUCGUUGAGGUAUUGUAUCAAUACCUACCAAAUACCAAAAUAAGUUAUUUUCAAUACCUGGACAACCGACCAAUACCUUGUCUUGGUAUGAUACCUGACUUUGGUAUGCUCCAGUUAUGUGGCAGUUAUUCAUUCCUGCUCGGGUACCUCCACAAACCCCGGAGGUUCCUCCAGAAGUUUCUUCCGCAAAUUCAAACAGGUAUCACCUAACGUAAAAUUACACGACUUUUAUAUGUAAAAACGUAAAAAUAUCGUGUUUUUUUGUGAUUUCAAACUAAAAUUGUUGAAUAACUUCGAAUAACCAAUUUAAACACCGUAGUGUCUUCGACAAAGUUGCAGAGUAUUGUUCUAACUAUAUCCUAACGGUAUCUCUGGCAACUGUUCGGAGCAAUUUUAUGAAUUUCUGAGUAAAUUUCUAUGAAAACGGCUAAAAAACACAAAAUUGAUUUGAUACACCUUUAUAACUUUAUCAAUUUGGCUCAAUUUUGGACUUAAGACUUGUUUUUCCAUGUGGAUUGAUAAUUUGAUGUGUCACGGAGAAGCGGAGAAAAAAAGUUUCAAAGUGAACAGGUCUAAUGUAGAUGUACCACUCCAACCUUUGAUCCGCGGUCUACUUUAUGCUAUAAAGGUAUACAACACGAGACUGCAUUUCUCCAGCACUUGCUGUUCACUUGUAACAAUUGGAAAUGCAAGAACGAAAACGAACCUUGCAUGCAGCGUUAGACGGCGGACGUGGAAACGGGUCUUCAGAUGAAAGUCACACAGGGAUAUCAUCAUCAAUUUAACAGUAAUGAGGCUGGAACUUGUGGGAAGGUACCUGCCCACCCAGACUUCAGUUAGUUGAUAGGACGAACGGAACAGAAACAGACCUUCUCCAAACUCCAUGCUCGUUUGGUGUGUGGUCGUCCUCCUGGUCGCGCAAAAGGAGCGCAACAGAGAGUCCACCGUUUAAGCGUACCGUCGCUUAUAAUUAAAUCUAAUACCCCGGGCAUCAAUAAAAAUUAAGAAAAUUAAAUUUUAUAGCGAUAUUGUACAAAUGACCAACGAGGUAGACUCGGUGGAGGGAGGUAACUGGACUAGCGCUGCACCGAUGGUGGGUUGUGUGAACUGAUGGAUACUUUAUAACGAGUCUCCAGUCGACUAUAGAUAAGAACAUGCUGAGGGUACUGGAUUCGAUUUCCGGUACCAUCCAAGAUCUUUUCGUAGUAGACUUUGUAUAACUUUCAUGUGCAAUGCACAUUGUGCAUAACAAUCUCUGUGAGUAUUUUAAAUCUUAAAUGGGUGAACCGGUUGUCGGCUUUGUCCAUUUUUUCCAAUAUUUAUUGAAAUCUACACGACACUUACUCAACACAACUUUUCCAAUAUUUCACUCGUAAACUCUGAACACAUCUGUUCUCGAUCACGUCUAUCUCCAAACUGAGGCCUUCACGAUCGAUCAUGUUUCUCGAUCUUUUCGUACCGCCAACAUCCUGUGCGACGGAAGCUUUUUUCCCGUCUUCGUCCUACCAGAUCAUUUUCGUGCGCUUUUGAGCUUUUUCGAGCAGUGUUUUUCGAUGUUUUCCUUUAUAGGUAACUUUUACCCAACUCCAUCAGGAAAGCUCGUUUUUUCAGAUACACGUCUAUUCAAAGCUGAUCAGUUAUUCAUAUUCUUACGCAAUAAAUUAUUAAAUGUUAUAAUCAACAUAUUUUCUCUACAUCCUUUUCCUCUCCUACUCUUCAUUUCAAUUUGGGUGCAGGACAAGUGCAGGAAGCAAUAUAUUUUUUUUUUUACCUUUUCUUGAUUAUUGCUAUUUUGAGAUAACAUUAAAAAAACGUAUACUGAAUCCGCAAAAUGUUUAAACGUUUGAAUUAUAUAUUAUUUUUACUGUUUUCUCAUAUCAUUGUAUUGUUUCGCUUAUCUUAGAUUCUCAGCAAGCUGCGUUCGAAACGCGCAGCCUCAGAUCGCGCCAGACCGCGCACGUAUGGUUUGUACACGGUGUGCACCUUGGCUAAAACUGUUUUGCAGCCGCCGGGUGGAGCUGUCAGCCGCCGUGUACAAAUCAAACGGGCGCAAUCUUAUAACGGCUGACUCAGAUCAGCAGGAUCUGAGUGAUUAAGCUAGGAUAAACAAUAAACGUCAUCAAAAGACUCGAGAAUUUUUUUUUACACGCCGAACCGCACGCAUGAAUAAAUAAAAAUGAAUCAAUUGUUUUCGACAAAGUUACUCACUAGCCAUCUUUCCGUGUUCGCCAUAAUGAAUAUGAAGUAAAAUCUGAGUUAUUUUUGGUAGCAACAGAACAAAGGCGGAUAUUUUCUCGUCCCGUUCGCCCUUAACUUUUUUAUAUAUAAUCUGUUUCUCCGUGUAUUAUUUGUUCAACCCUGACAUGUUUCGAAUAGGCCUUUUUUUAUGUGUCAUUCAGUUUUCAAACAUCACGAUCACGACGUAUGUCGAUUCUCAUAUCGUUUGACAGUUCCGCGUGGGAUGAAAAAAUGAAAGAAAAGAAAAAAAAACCUAACUGUGCUGGCUUCAGCUUUCUAAAGCUGUAGUACCAGUUAUAGCUCUUGUCUGGAUUACGGCGGACUACGGAAUAACUGAACCCUUAUUUCCACAAGCUGGGCCACUACUUAUGGUCAUUGAACUGCAACAUGCUGUGAACAACUCAGAUCCAACUUUGAUUAGUGGUCGCCUAUCUGGAAACCCCAUUUACGGAUCGAUCCUUAGCCGUUAGUGCAAACUUAAGUCGAUCUGGACCGUUCUGACUGGAUACUCAAAAUAUUCGCAACAAUUACCUCGUUUUAAUCAUGUACACAGUAUCCACCGCAACACCCUCACUUGCGCUACCCAGGAAUCAAAUAAGUCGCUGAACCACUGUGCAACAUGCAUGUACUGGACCGAUGGGACCGAUGUAGAGAAAUGUUUUAUUCGCCGGUUUGUUAUUCGGGAUGGAAAGACUCUGAGCACAGCUAAAAGAUAAUAAUAUGUGGUUCGACGCCAUCUUGAUUUUGCACCAUUUUACGAAUAACACAUUUUUGGUCUGCACUAUUUUAUUUGAAUGCCUUAUUAGAUAAAUGUUUUAUUCGCGGGUU